CAGGUUCCUGCUCCAGCGCGGCUCCUGGACUGGCCCCGGGUGCUGGCCCCGGGGGUUUCAAUCCAAGCAUAAUUCAGUGAAGCAUGUGUUUGGCAGCGGGACCCAGCUCACCGUUUUAGGUCGGCCUCCUGCCUUCAUUUGAGGAAGGGCACCUUAGACUCAGAAGGUGACUAGCGGGGAGUAAACGGGAGUGCAGAGAACUCCACGGCUGACAGGUCAGCCCAAGGCCACCCCCUCGGUCACUCUGUUCCUGCCGUCCUCUGAGGAGCUCCAAGCCAACAAGGCCACACUGGUGUGUCUCAUGAAUGACUUCUAUCUGGGAAUCUUGACGGUGACCUGGAAGGCAGAUGGUACCCCCAUCACCCAGGGCGUGGAGAUGACCACGCCCUCCAAACAGAGCAACAGCAAGUACAUGGCCAGCAGCUACCUGAGCCUGACGCCCGAGCAGUGGAGGUCCCGCAGAAGCUACAGCUGCCAGGUCAUGCAUGAAGGGAGCACUGCAGAGAAGACGGUGGCCCCUGCAGAAUGUUCAUAGGUUCCCAGCCCCCACCCCACCCACAGGGGCCUGGAGCUGCAGGAUCCCAGGGGAGGCGUCUCUCUCUGCAUCCCAAGCCAUCCAGCCCUUCUCCCUGUACCCAGUAAACCCUCAGUAAAUAUCCUCUUUGUCAACCAGAA
rnacentral:lncRNA from 1 species